AUUGAACGCUGGCGGCAGGCCUAACACAUGCAAGUCGAGCGGAUGAAGGGAGCUUGCUCCUGGAUUCAGCGGCGGACGGGUGAGUAAUGCCUAGGAAUCUGCCUGGUAGUGGGGGAUAACGUCCGGAAACGGGCGCUAAUACCGCAUACGUCCUGAGGGAGAAAGUGGGGGAUCUUCGGACCUCACGCUAUCAGAUGAGCCUAGGUCGGAUUAGCUAGUUGGUGGGGUAAAGGCCUACCAAGGCGACGAUCCGUAGCUGGUCUGAGAGGAUGAUCAGUCACACUGGAACUGAGACACGGUCCAGACUCCUACGGGAGGCAGCAGUGGGGAAUAUUGGACAAUGGGCGAAAGCCUGAUCCAGCCAUGCCGCGUGUGUGAAGAAGGUCUUCGGAUUGUAAAGCACUUUAAGUUGGGAGGAAGGGCAGUAAGUUAAUACCUUGCUGUUUUGACGUUGCCAACAGAAUAAGCACCGGCUAACUUCAUG
rnacentral:rRNA from 1 species